rnacentral:rRNA from 1 species
AGUGAACGCUGGCGGUAGGCCUAACACAUGCAAGUCGAACGGCAGCACAGUAAGAGCUUGCUCUUACGGGUGGCGAGUGGCGGACGGGUGAGGAAUACAUCGGAAUCUACUUUUUCGUGGGGGGUAACGUAGGGAAACUUACGCUAAUACCGCAUACGACCUACGGGUGAAAGCAGGGGACCUUCGGACCUUGCGCGAUUGAAUGAGCCGAUGUCGGAUUAGCUAGUUGGCGGGGUAAAGGCCCACCAAGGCGACGAUCCGUAGCUGGUCUGAGAGGAUGAUCAGCCACACUGGAACUGAGACACGGUCCAGACUCCUACGGGAGGCAGCAGUGGGGAAUAUUGGACAAUGGGCGCAAGCCUGAUCCAGCCAUACCGCGUGGGUGAAGAAGGCCUUCGGGUUGUAAAGCCCUUUUGUUGGGAAAGAAAAGCAGCAGGUUAAUACCCCGCUGUUCUGACGGUACCCAAAGAAUAAGCACCGGCUAACUUCGUG